GAUGAAGAACGCAGCGAAAUGCGAUAAGUAGUGUGAAUUGCAGAAUUCAGUGAAUCAUCGAAUCUUUGAACGCACAUUGCGCCCGCCAGUAUUCUGGCGGGCAUGCCUGUUCGAGCGUCAUUUCAACCCUCAAGCCCCAGCGGCCUGGUGUUGGGGACCGGCGACCUCGCCCGAGCCCGCCCUCCGGGGCGCGUGCCCGGUGCGUCCGCCGCCCCCGAAAUGAAUUGGCGGCCUCGUCGCGGCCUCCUCUGCGUAGUAGCACAACCUCGCAAGCGGGAGCGCGACGCGGCCACUGCCGUAAAACGCCCAACUUUUUUAGAGUUGACCUCGGAUCAGGUAGGAAUACCCGCUGAACUUAAGCAUAUCAAUAAGCGGAGGA
rnacentral:misc_RNA from 1 species